GCUCACAGGGCGCGGUGGCUGCGCAUGAGAUUGCAGAUCUCCAGGCCGUCGGUUCGAAUCCGGCUGUGAGCU
rfam:Tortispora caseinolytica NRRL Y-17796 unplaced genomic scaffold CANCAscaffold_2, whole genome shotgun sequence.